AACGGAAGGGGCUAGCGUUGUUCGGAAUUACUGGGCGGAAAGCGCACGUCGGCGGACUGGAAAGUCAGAGGUGAAAUCCCAGGGCUCAACCUUGGAACUGCCUUUGAAACUCCCGGUCUUGAGGUCGAGAGAGGUGAGUGGAAUUCCGAGUGUAGAGGUGAAAUUCGUAGAUAUUCGGAGGAACACCAGUGGCGAAGGCGGCUCAUUGGCUCGAUACUGACGCUGAGGUGCGAAAGCGUGGGGAGCAAACAGG
rnacentral:rRNA from 1 species